AGAUUAAGUUAUUAAGGGCGCACGGUGGAUGCCUUGGCACUAGAAGCCGAUGAAGGACGUUACUAACGACGAUAUGCUUUGGGGAGCUGUAAGUAAGCUUUGAUCCAGAGAUUUCCGAAUGGGGAAACCCAGCAUGAGUUAUGUCAUGUUAUCGAUAUGUGAAUACAUAGCAUAUCAGAAGGCACACCCGGAGAACUGAAACAUCUUAGUACCCGGAGGAAGAGAAAGAAAAUUCGAUUCCCUUAGUAGCGGCGAGCGAAACGGGAAGAGCCCAAACCAACAAGCUUGCUUGUUGGGGUUGUAGGACACUCUAUACGGAGUUACAAAGGACGACAUUAGACGAAUCAUCUGGAAAGAUGAAUCAAAGAAGGUAAUAAUCCUGUAGUCGAAAAUGUUGUCUCUCUUGAGUGGAUCCUGAGUACGACGGAGCACGUGAAAUUCCGUCGGAAUCUGGGAGGACCAUCUCCUAAGGCUAAAUACUCUCUAGUGACCGAUAGUGAACCAGUACCGUGAGGGAAAGGUGAAAAGCACCCCGGAAGGGGAGUGAAAUAGAACCUGAAACCGUGUGCUUACAAGUAGUCAGAGCCCGUUAAUGGGUGAUGGCGUGCCUUUUGUAGAAUGAACCGGCGAGUUACGAUUUGAUGCAAGGUUAAGCAGUAAAUGUGGAGCCGUAGCGAAAGCGAGUCUGAAUAGGGCGUUUAGUAUUUGGUCGUAGACCCGAAACCAGGUGAUCUACCCUUGGUCAGGUUGAAGUUCAGGUAACACUGAAUGGAGGACCGAACCGACUUACGUUGAAAAGUGAGCGGAUGAACUGAGGGUAGCGGAGAAAUUCCAAUCGAACCUGGAGAUAGCUGGUUCUCUCCGAAAUAGCUUUAGGGCUAGCCUCAAGUGAUGAUUAUUGGAGGUAGAGCACUGUUUGGACGAGGGGCCCCUCUCGGGUUACCGAAUUCAGACAAACUCCGAAUGCCAAUUAAUUUAACUUGGGAGUCAGAACAUGGGUGAUAAGGUCCGUGUUCGAAAGGGAAACAGCCCAGACCACCAGCUAAGGUCCCAAAAUAUAUGUUAAGUGGAAAAGGAUGUGGCGUUGCCCAGACAACUAGGAUGUUGGCUUAGAAGCAGCCAUCAUUUAAAGAGUGCGUAAUAGCUCACUAGUCGAGUGACACUGCGCCGAAAAUGUACCGGGGCUAAACAUAUUACCGAAGCUGUGGAUUGUCCUUUGGACAAUGGUAGGAGAGCGUUCUAAGGGCGUUGAAGCAUGAUCGUAAGGACAUGUGGAGCGCUUAGAAGUGAGAAUGCCGGUGUGAGUAGCGAAAGACGGGUGAGAAUCCCGUCCACCGAUUGACUAAGGUUUCCAGAGGAAGGCUCGUCCGCUCUGGGUUAGUCGGGUCCUAAGCUGAGGCCGACAGGCGUAGGCGAUGGAUAACAGGUUGAUAUUCCUGUACCACCUAUAAUCGUUUUAAUCGAUNGGGGGGACGCAGUAGGAUAGGCGAAGCGUGCGAUUGGAUUGCACGUCUAAGCAGUAAGGCUGAGUAUUAGGCAAAUCCGGUACUCAUUAAGGCUGAGCUGUGAUGGGGAGAAGACAUUGUGUCUUCGAGUCGUUGAUUUCACACUGCCGAGAAAAGCCUCUAGAUAGAAAAUAGGUGCCCGUACCGCAAACCGACACAGGUAGUCAAGAUGAGAAUUCUAAGGUGAGCGAGCGA
rnacentral:rRNA from 1 species